rnacentral:piRNA from 1 species
UGCUCUGUCGCCCAGACUAGAUUGCAGU